rnacentral:rRNA from 1 species
UACGUAGGGACCAAGCGUUGUUCGGAUUUACUGGGCGUAAAGAGCGCGUAGGCGGCUCGGUAAGCCGGAUGUGAAACCUCCAAGCUCAACUUGGAGCGGCCAUUCGGAACUGCUGUGGCUAGAGUCUGGUAGGGGAACACGGAAUUCCUGGUGUAGCGGUGAAAUGCUUAGAUAUCAGGAGGAACACCAGUGGCGAAGGCGGUGUUCUGGGCCAGUACUGACGCUGAGGCGCGAAAGCGUGGGGAGCGAACAGG